UUGUUCAUUACUGCCGUUUGCCACUGUGACAUUCAUUCCUAUGUAUGAAGGUGCAGGGAGCAAUUGUGAACAUUUGAGCCACAUACAAAUAAAUCUGUCCUGUUAAAUUGAAAAGUGAUAUCUUAAAGGAGUCAUUUAGAAGUCUCUAUUGAUUUUUGAUUUUUUUUAAACACCCGAUUUUUUUCUCCUCUUUGUUAAAGGUUGAAAGGCAUCAUCGCGCUCUUCCUUUGUGUGACAUUGGUGGUGUUUUUCCUUAUCCUAGCCCAGUGCCAUGUGCUCAUACUGAGGUUAGAGGAGAGGCACAGCCUUUUCUUGAUAUACUGUUUGAGCCUUUAGAUCCAAUUAAAAUUAUUUCAAUUAAAAGGUUGAGAUGAAGGGUGAAAUAUGUGAUCUGGAUCAUUAUUUUUGCUAAGCAAAUAGGCCCCCAGCUUUAUGUGGGUGUGACUCUGAACAUACUGUUUUUUAAAAAAUUUGCCUCUUGCUGUCCACACUUGUAAGAAAGCAAACUGUCCGUUAUGUUACCGUUACUGAUGAUCAUCCUUAUAAUUUCUUUAAGAUUCUUAUUUGGAAGGGUGCUAGCACUUAAACUAUAAAGGUGUUUUGUGGUUUGAAAAUGAUUCCCCCAUGUAUGUGGGGGGAAAUAAGUGAAAUGUCUAGAGGGAUGAAAGAUGAAUGGUUUGACUGUUUUCCUCUGGUUGGUGCUCACUGUUUUUCUGGCAUCUUGGUCUGUACAGGCCAAAGCGCCUGGAGGCAUGUCUGAUUUAAAGGUGGUGUUGGUCUCUGCUCUUUAAGCAUCUAUUAACUUGCUAUUAUUAUGCAAAUAAGUGUUGUAUUACACAUACUAAUUUAUGCAUGGUUAGAUUAUGCAGAUGCAUCACAAACAUGGUUAUUGAAUAAUAGGAUGGGGCUCAUUCACUCUACCAUUUUUAUAAGCUGUUUUAGGCGAAUUCUCCUGGUACCCAUGUGGACAUUUAAAGACCCUUCACUUGCUGAAAUGUCUCUUUUGUAUCCUCUUUCUUUUACUGUUAAAGCCCUCAGAUAAGUGGGGGAGACAUCGCCUAAGUUAUUAGGUUCAAGAGUGUUAGACUCACUUUUCAAAUCUGCAGGCUUCUUUGUUUAAACAUAAUCUUUUCCUUAAAGAGGAAAUCUAAAAUGUAAUCGCUUGGCAUGCAUGCUAGCAUUUAGUCAGAUUUUAGUGGAUACAGGCUUGCUGCUUAGCUCUAGGUAGCCCAUCAAAUUAAAAUCACAUUUUCAGGAUUUAUAGCUCAUUAGAAUAUUUAUCUUGGUAAGCUUCUUAUCCUGUCGGUAAUUUUUAAACAAUUCACUGUCUGGCCAAUUUAUACAAUCCCCUAAAAUUCUGUAAAUGAAGAGACCCUGUUACAGUAUAUCUCUCAGAGAAGUCUUAGUAGAAAAACCUGUGAGCCAUCUCGUAAAAGUGCCAGAGAUUGAGAACGUAGCUAUGUUCUUGAGAUUCCUAAUGUGUCGAGUAAUUAACCAGUGAGAUUUGGUAAGUGAUGAGCAUAAGAAACAGAUUGCUAUUGCAUUUAACGAAUGAAGCAUUUGAAUGCUCUGGUCAGAUUUGGGAAGAGGCUGUACACCUUUGCAAUUCUGUUUUUUUUUUGAAAUGUUUAAGUAUAUGUGUGUGUACUUGAUCAGUCAAGUGGAAGCUGGAAAAUUCUAAUGUGCUGGACUCCCUUGUUAGCAAUAACCUUUAUUCCAGAGUCAGAGGGAAAACCGUAUUCCUUGAAUCGUGAUCGAAUAUUGUCACCGAAUUGGGACUUUCAUUUGAAAUAAUAGAAGCAGCUUUGAUGCCAUCAGGCCCGUUUCCCACGCCUUUCAUCAGAAGUUGGUGUGCUUCAUUGCUAGAAUCAGCAAUGACGUCAGGUGGAGUUGGCAUCUAUUUCACAGGCUUGGCCCUGGAGACUUCACACUGGGAAAGGGUGCUGUAUCCACACCAUACCUGCCCUUCCCUUUGCCCUCAAAGCACGUGGAUAACAAUGUUUGUUUUCAUACUGUUCUGACACUGGAUUAUGAAUAACACCUUCUCUUUGGCCCAUAGUAUCUCAUUUGAACCCCAAGCCACUCCAUGAGAUGGUGUCCCCUCAUAAAUUGGGCAAACAGAAUGGUUGAUAUGUGCACUGUUGAAUUGCAGCAGGGUUGCAGUAGGCAGGAGUGAAUCACAGACAUCGGGAUUGGGAGGGAUCUCAGACAUCAUCGAAUCAAACCUCUGUACCGUAUCUCUGGAAAGCAGACAUCCACACUCUGCUUAAACACCUCGGGGGAUAGGAAACUCCUUACUUUAUAAACAGCCAUCCAGUCAAAGCAGUGUUCUGUUUACCAAGCCGAGGACUAACUGCUUCAUCCUAAUAGUUGCCCACUGAUCUGGUCCUUGAACACAUGAAAACCUUUCACAUAGCCUCAUGAUCACAUAGUUUGGUAUCCCUUCUGUCAGGGCCAGAGACGGUACCAGGACGUCACUACUCUGAACUCAAAGUCGGAUCAGGGCAUCAAAUCCGAGCUCGUCACUAGUGGCAAGUUGAGAAGAUGGGCCUGUUGGAGAGACCUCUGGACCAGGAGCCAAAAGAUGAGAAUUAGAACCCAGCUCCACCACAAACUGUAGUCACCACAGGCCUUAAUUCUUGCUUUGUGACUCCUUGGGGCUUCCUUUCCCUAACUCUAGGAUGAGGAUCCUGAUACUUGUCUUUUCUAUCUGAUGAGAGCAAGUAUGCAGAUGUAAUGGGCUUAUGGAUAAGAAAACCACUUGCAGAAGUACAGAGGGCCAUCUCGCUGGCCCUGAUGUUGGGCUGUAGCACACAAUGGAGUUUCUAACAGUCAACCAAAGGUCGCGAAAGGAUGUGCUCGGCAACUGCCAGCCACAGCUGGAGCAGAGCGUAAAAUGAGUAGGGAGGAAAGCGGAGAGGAGAGUCCAGCUUUGAGACUUCUACCAACCUGGCCUCAGUGCUGCUUGCUGACAGUGUCGUUAGCAUUGCCUCUUCCUGCCUGUGACACCGUGUGUGUUUCCAGUGGGGAUGCAGAUGAGGGAAGGGUGUCAGGAAGACGUUAGGGAGACUCUCUGGCCUGGGACCAACAUAAAAAUUAAAGGACUGGAUUUUUGUUGAGAUAAUUAUUCUAUAUAGACUUCAUUGUUUUGUGCUUGAGUUUUUAUCUGUUAUUUGGAAGCACUCUCUAGUUUCGUUUCCUUUAGGCCUUUAAGUUGGAGAGCCUCAUUGGCAUGCAGUUUAGGACUCUACAGAAAAAAAGUUUAGGAGCCACUCUAAAUGCUCAGGCGUGUUAAUGUUACUACACCUUAUAAUAGGAAGAACAAUGAUGUCGUGGAUUCGCGUAACUCUUUUCUGCCAUCAAGCUCCAGGUCACUUCCUGUUAUCUGACUCGGGCUGUCCAUCCCACCUACAGGGGCUGUUCUUCCCAACCUCCAGGGGAGCAGACUGAGGCUUGGUGAGGUGAGGCACCUUGCCUCAGGGAUGAAUGGGUAUAGUCAGAGAGAUGUAGGACUUACAGACAACUAAACCAAAUGAGUGGGCUCUGUGUACUCCGAAUUUGGUUGGCUGUUUAUACUACUCUUCUUCCCGCUGAGCCCCUCCAAGUCCUUUUCCUGAUUUGCCUUCUCCACCGUAGGAGGCCUCGUGUGUAGGUGAGAAAUGCUGCACGUCGGGGGCCAUGCCGUGGGAGAUGAUGACAAGACCAUUCCCUAGAGGCCUUUCGCUUUUCUUACCAUGUGAUUAGCAGAGUCACAGCAGGAUCCAGAGGGCUCCAGAGCUCUCCCUGACCCCAGCGCCAUUAAAUUCUGGGUGCCUGUGAAGCAACGGGAUCGUGAAAAGUUGUGUUUUUAAACAUCUCACAAACGUAGUAUAUCCAUUUCUUGAACGCUUUAGCAUUAAUAGUAGUCUGGAAAGAUGUGCAGGUCUGGACAAGGACUGGAGCUGUGGAGAGCUAAUCGUGUAGAUCCAAAUUCAGUUGACUUAAAAAACAUCAUGGUGGGCAAUGGUUUGUUUAAUGACACCAUAAUUGAGGAGAACUGAAAAAGAUGGCCCGCUAAAAAUUGUCACCCUUCAUUCAAACUUUACAGUAGUGCCCUGCAUUGAGAUGAUAGUAAAUCCAUUAAGGAGACUUCUCAGGAGGGUGUUCUAGCUCUGACAUUUUGGAGAUUUGGUAAGCAGGAUGCCACAGGAAAUUGAAGAAAAUACAGAUACAAAUGUAUUUAAAGUACUUUUGUAUGUAUAAAAAUGUUGUUGUUCUUUUGGCUACAAUUCCUGAUCUUGGUUAAUAAAUUACAUCAAAAUGACCUGAAGUUAAAAAAAAGGAAAAAAAUCUGAGCAAAUAGUGCCCCUGGUAUUGUAAAGCUUUGAAUGUUUUCACACCCCAUUAAUUUAUUACUUCUCUUUCUUCAUCUUUAAAUUUCAUUUUUUUUUUCAAAAAUUCCGACUCCCCGCUGCUGCAGUGAUUUUCAUCUUGUUGUUAAUUUUCCCUGCUCCAUAUGGAGCUCCAGACAUUUCACCUGGAGGCUGUACUAGAUUUUGUUGUAGUGAUCGUACUUCCGGAGGCCAAAACUGUCAUUUAGGGUUCCUGGUGCAUCUGUCUGCGCCAGGCUUUUCACUGGCAUGGGAGAGUGUGAAUAACAAAUUGGAUGCACCUGAGAUUCAGAUGAUUAGUGUGUUUUGUGAAUCUCCACGACUUGUAAGCAGAUAGCUCUGGGGGGGUGGGAGGGCUAAACAGCGACUGUGGGUGAAUCUGUACUCACACCUUACAUUUGGGGCUUUGCAAGGGAAGUGCAAACAUCCCAGGCAGUCUGAGUGCAGAGAGAGUAACAAAUAUUUCAUCCUGCCUUGUCAUUGAUUAGAAAAGAGCCUUUAAUUUCAUUUCACCCCAUGUUGUGAUUAAUUUGCAUUCUUUGUCAGAAGUUAAUGGAGUUUUUUAUGGUUCACUCUGAAAUCCUUGAAGACAUCAGACUUGAUCUGAUGUUUAUACAACCGCCAGCGGAAUUUUUUCGUUUGAUUGAUGGCAAGCUUGAUGUUAUUCCAAACGGCUUUUUAAGCUGUUUUUAAGAAUUAUUUGAAUAAAAUGCAAGCAAGAUAUUGUUGUAACGAUCAAGAUUAUCUGUUAAAAAUCUGUUUCAAAUAAAGAAGAUGAUAAGUAGUAAAAAGGAUCAAAAACAUAAGAGAUAAAGUGAAUAGCGACGUUAUUUGUUAAAAAUACAUAAGAAUGGCAUUCAGAUAAAUUAUUGCAAUAUAUAGAGAUCAUUUUUCUUGAAAAAAAAAUAUAUACCAUCAUCUGGCCAGAUAGAAUAAGUAAGGCAAAGGUAGAAGGAAAAUCUAGAUCCUUGGGAUUAAAAACCUUUGCUACCAAUUGGCUAAUUCUCAUUUAUUCUGCCAGCUUUUACCACCAAUGUACGAAAUAGAGAUCUACUGUUCUUAACUCAAGGAGACAGGGUCUGUCAGGCCUGUUAGCUGAGCAAAAUGAUGACAUAUUACUUGUCUCAAUAAAGAGACAUUCUUAAAUCCCAGUACAAGUUAAACAUAAGUGGAUGAUAGAGGAUUUUAAGUGAAAGACAUGCAUUCUUAAUAGUAUAACGACUGGCUUUUUUCAUAGGAUAGUACAGAAAUGAAAUGCCCUGUUUUUAAAGGCAGUAUAUACCCUGGUUGUUUGUGUGGGUGAAAGGAAUGUGUGUGUUCAUCCCGUAUACACUACAUAUCAAAGUAUGAGGGGAGCUGUGGGUGGCGUUUGCUCAGAACCCCCUGCUACUAACCAAGGAAAUAUGUUGUGCAAAUGCUUUUUGAUUACUAAUACCAUUUGUUUGAUUUGGGGGCUUUGCCUUGCUUCAGCAGAUUCUUGCUUUGCUGUGAUUGCUGCUAGUGAAACUUGCUCAUAGGUCAAAAAGCUACUUAUCUGAGCACUUUCAUUUAAAACAGAUUAAUUUAUUUGCUGUAUCUGAAAGUUUGCUAAAUAAUUGGGUGGUUUUAAUUGAAGUUACUGCUUUCUGAUCCUUGUAUUAACAUGAUCUAAGGUCCUUUUUAUUAUAUGCAAUCCAUAUUAUUGACCAAAUUUGCCCUGUUUUCAUUUAAAUGUAAGCAGCUUGUCAAGGAGAAAAUAUUUUGUUUAACUUGGCUUGGAAACCUGCUAUUUUAAUGUGUUUUUUUUUUCAAUUGACAGACUGUCUUUUAAACAUUCAUUUAUUGUGUAGUAAUAAAUUGUGCUCUGGAUAGAGCAUUUGUCUCAUAAUGGAGUAGAAAGCGUAUGUUCUUAAAACUAUUUUAAAAUAUUAAACACUUUUCAAAAGAUAAUGCUGGAAUUCUGAGUUUUGUACCUAAUUUUAUUCAUGUUUUAAAAGCCUUUUACUAUGCUAUUACUAAUCCUAAUUUUGAUAAUUGAAUGUUGUUUUAUAUUCAAUGUUAAAUUCAGACCAUCUACUUUAUUAUCUUAUUUAUGUACUAACGUACUGAUCAUGACUAGAACAAUGUAGAAUUGCAAAAUAAUACCUAGAAAGUUGACCUUCUUUGAAAAAAAGGGAUUUGGAGUUUAUCCCUUGUUACAUGAACUUUUUGAAGUUAAGAACAUCAAGGGUCCUAUAAAAUCAUAAAUAUCCAUUUUUUUGUGUGAGGUCUGUAGUCAAAGAACAAAAAAACAAACAAUGGGUAAUUACCCCAGACUUCAAGUACUCACCUUUUGUUGGCAAGAGUCCAAAAGCAAUGUGCGUGCAUUCUUUUGCUAAACAGGUUUCUAGCCUACAUGUUUUAAUUCGUUAUUUUCAUUCUUGUUAUUUAGGAUAUGGACAUUUAAAAUAGAGCGUUACUUAAAGCCAUACAAAGUCUGAUUUCGCGUUCCACAAACGGCAGAGGUGAAAUCUAAGUGAUAGGAAGAUGCUCCCUUACAUACAUAUGCUGCUUCCCAGGAAUUUUGAAAGUGGCCGUGCUGGAUUCUUCUCCCAUUAUCUAUCUCAUGCUUAUCAAGAGAUCUCCCAAUGUUCUUGGCUUAGCCUAUUGCAAAGAUAGGAAGUAGGUUCCUAGUGUGUCUUUAAAAUAGAGCAGAAAUGGGGCGCCUGGAAUCCCCAAAGAGUGGGUAGCCUAGAAACAUGACAUUUUUCCCUAAAGAUAAAUUACUUGUUAAUACCUCGAUUGAAGUAUAUGCAGUUAGCCAGCUAGGCUGGUGAACCCUGGCUUUUUAAAAACACUAACCCCAUGUUGGUUUGAUUUUUUAUAGCACCUUCUAAACUACUCUAUGACAUAGAUCUCAAUUCAAUUCAACAUGUUUUUGUCACCAAGCACCUACUCUGCCCUGGCACUGUGCUACGCGCCGGAAGUCCAGCAAGGAAACAGAUGUGGUCCCUGCUCUCAGAGUCUAGUCUAGUGGAGAGAAAAAUAUAAGAGAAACAAAUGGCAGUUGAUGCAAAAGGAACCAGACAGGAGGUGGUGUGCUCUGCCCUCCAGAAGAGGUCAGCUCAGUUCAGAAAGCUGUGAAGGCUUCACGGAGAAGGUGAUGCCUGAGCUGAGGCUGUGAGGCUAAAGAGAAGGGAAAGAACUUUCCAGGCAUUCUCAUCAGCAGGAGAUUCAUCCGGUAAAAGAUAAAGGUCUAAAGCAGCAUGUUGUAUGCAGUAUCCUUCUAGUACUUUAAUUCACUAGGGUACUACUACCGUUACUCUCAUUUCCCUACCUGUUUAGGAAUUUCUCUGGGUAAUUUUCAAAGCAGCACUGGGAGGGCAAUAAGAGACGGGAGGGCAGAGUGCGGGAGGAGAGAGGGGGUGUGUCAGGACAGAGAUGGCAAGUGCAGCAGAAACCAGGUAAUGAAACUGGGAUUGAGAAUUUCAUGAAUCCCUCCGAGAUGACUGGGAGCGAGCCUGAGGUUGGAAAUCAUUACGUUUUAAGAUCUCUGCCCCUGAGGUCAGCUGGCACAUGCCUCUGAGGGCCUUGGCACAUCAUGGGACGUUUUCUAGGGAGGGGGGGUUGUCAUGAUCAGAUGAGCUAAUGCCUAAGAGGACACUUUGAAAAAUAUAAGAAGGUAAACAAGAGCUGGGUAAUAUUAGUAUUAUUUAUAUUUCUGGGAAGUACUUUAGGGAUUUACCUAUGUAACUCUGAAAAUAUAUGACCGUGUCUCACGUCUCACACCAGGUAGGACUAAAAUGAAUUACUUUUCUGAUCCCACAAGAGCCUUCCUUUACAGUCUUUCUUUUUUGAGUUAUAAUUUAUCAUUCACGAUCACAAUCAUAAUAUAUAGAACUAUAUACAGAACCCAGUGAUUGUUAUGUCAGUAACUAGGGACCCUGAUUCUUCUAUGAUUUUUAAAUAAUCAGCUUAGCCGAGAAAUAGAAUUGAAGUUUGAAGUAAGGAACCGAGCGCCCAGUCUGGCUUUCAGGUGGCAACUUUGCCGUCUCCCCUCCCUCUUGGGCUCUGUGGUCUGAGAGCCCUUCCACUUUUCCCCCUUUGGUUUUUCUGAGUGCUGUCUGCUACUUCGUGGGAUCAUAGAAUUUCAGAAGGUGACGAGAUCUUAGAGUGACCUGUUCCAACUCUUUCACUUUAUAAAGGAGGAAAUGAGAUUCCGAUAGCCAUUCAGUGACUCACUCAGGAUGAGCAGGUGUUUGACAGCCUACCGGGUCAGAUUGGUUCCCACUCUAGAGGGAUGGUGCAGGGAGAAAGACACCCAGAGGCUUUGAGCCCAAAUGGCCAUUUUUAUGGUCCACUCAAGUGCUGCAUUCAACUUGUGUGUCUGCAGAGAUAGAAAUUACUGUCCCAGGAUGCUACAUGUCUACCAGGUAAUUGCUGAUGGGUACAGAUCCCUCAGGGGAAAGUGGUCCUCAAUAGCAGUAAUACCAACAGCAACAAAGACAUCAACUUUUAUCAUAUACCAGUGUUUUACUUAUACUAUUCAGUAUAGAAAACUUGGGUAGAUUUGAGGCUCAGGAUUCAUUGGCAUCCAACUUAAAAAGGAGGCGGACGUGGCCAGGUUUUGUUUGAGCACAGAUUACUUUUCAGAUGUUUUAACAGUUCUGGAUUAAUGCCUGGGGGGCUUGGGAAUUCUCCCUCAACUAAAAUGUUAAUGAUGCUAAGAACCUGACCCUCUUUAGUGCCAAUAAAGUGGACAAGCUAAGUUCAUUGAAAAAUCAAUGCAUUGCCUAAAAGGAGCAAAGAGCUGAUUCGAUUUAGGAUUGGAGAUUGCCCAGGACACCCCAGGUGGAAAGAGGGUCCCAAGGCUGCUAGGAGCUAGGAAAGGAGGCAGUUGUCUGUUUAUGUCUACAGCCAGGGUGUCAGCUCCAAGGAAUUGUGGGAAACUGAGGCAACCAAUUAGAACCAAGCGUGGACUCUGUUAUGCCAUACCCUGUCAAAGUCUACAGAUAAUGACCGCCAUGCAGAGAGGGAAAGAAAAGCUGGAGAACACGCUAGUCUUAGGAGGAAAGGAGGUCAGAGGAGGAAAGAAAGACCAAAAUGGCUAACGGAGCUUGUCUUGCUUUCUGUUCAGAAACAGGUUGCAAAGAGCACUAUUCAGGGCAUGGGGAGACCUUGACUAUAGUCCUAGUUCUAGUUGGGCAAAAUACAAUAAACAAAAGAAAAUUUCCAGUGAGAGGCCUUCCUCCGCCCCUGUGCCUCCAUAGCCAGGCAGCUGCAAACGCUCGAUGACUCGGGGCAGAGAGGACCAGGAAGCAGCAAGUGAGACACCCAUCAAGUGACAAGUUAAAUCAUUGUCAGAAUGAGGUUUCUGGGGGGCAUCUGGGUGAGUCAGUUGGUUAAGCAUCUGAUGCUUGAUUUUGGCUCAGGUCAUGAUCUCACGGUUUGUGGAAUCGAGCCCUGUGUCGCGCUCCGGGCUAACAGCAAGGAGCCUGCUUGAGAUUCUCUUUCUCUGUAUCUCUCUGCCCCUCCCCUGCUUACUCUCUCUCUACCUCUCAAAAAAGAAUAUGGUUUCUGUCCCCCUUCCCCCCAUUCUACACACACAGAGCUAACCUGAGUUCUGUUCCUGGCUUUUCUUGCUAGUUGUUUGACCUUAGUUCUUUUCAGACCUCAGUUACUUCAUCUGGAAAAUAAUAGAGGUGUCCUAGGUCAGUGAUUUGCAGAAUUACAUGGAAAGACAGGGCAUAAAAUAGAUGGGAAUUCACUCCCAGACACCUACAUACAUGCAUGCACACACAAAUACCAGGCAGUUCUGUUUUUGUCUGUUAAUUUUUGUUAAUGUGUCUAAGUAAUACCUUACAUGAACCUUGAGUUAUUUGGUAACCAAUGUCUGAAAAAUGCUGAGCUAGAUACUUCUGUGGUCUCCUUUCAUCUUGUAUGAGUAAUUUUCCCCUCUUGUCCACACCUUCAGCUACCUUUCUCAUCACCAUCUCCCAAGUACACUCUUGGACUUUAUUGAACUGGAUUUCACCCAAAUCAAACUAUGAGAGGUGUGAACCACAUCUCUGAAACAGGAAUCAAACUUUUUGUUUAGUUCAUUCUAAAUUUUUUUUUUGUUUAAGUGUAUUGAUUUAUUUUGAGACAGACAGAAACAGCCCAAGUGGAGGAGGGGCAGAGAGAGAGGUAGACAGAGAAUUCCAAGCAGGCUCCGCACCAUCAGCACAGAGGCAGACAUGGGGCUCAGACUCACGAAACUGUGAGAUCAUGACCUGAGCCGAAAUCAAAAGUCAGACACUUCACCGACUGAGCCACCCAGGUGCCCCGUUUAGUUCAUUCUAGAUCCAUGACUUCUUUUCUUUAAAUCCUGUUUGAAUCUCGUUUACAACCAAACCAGUAAGACACAUGUUAAUUAGCAUGGUUAUGUGUGACUAUAUUUCAAGAUUCUUUCCUUUCCAAUGCCAAAUAAUGCAGGGGGCGCCUGAGUGGCUCAGUCGGUUGAGUGUCCGACUUUGGCUCAGGUCAUGAUCUAAUGCGAAAUAAAGCAUGUAUUAGCUACAGUUGCAGCUUAUCUCAAAAUAUCAGCAGGCCAAACAAUGUUGUCAAAUGGCAUCAUGGUAAAAAAAAAAAAAAAAAAAGGCAGCAAUAUAUAGAGUCUUAGCCCACAAAGAAAGCACUCUGUGAAAUGCCUGAAAGCAUCCCUUUUUUGGGGGACACUGUCUUAGAAAUCUACAGCACCUUGAAUCUAGCAAAUUGUAUUUUAUCCAAAAAUUAAGUGGCAUUUUAAGGAGAAUGCAAACCCUGUGAUUUAAGUCUUAGCUCUGUCACUAACUUUCAGGGACCUUAAAGAAGUCACUCAUUUUUGUGGACCAGCACUCGCAGCUUAUCCGUCUACUGGAUCCUAGACUCCAGUACAGUGCCUGGCAUAGAGUAAGUUCUUGAUAAAGAUACAUGAACUGGGGUGCCUGGGUGUCUCGGUCGGUGAAGUGUUCAGCUCUUGAUUUCAACUCAGGUCAUGAUCUCACGGUUUGCUGUCAGUACAGAGCCUACUUGGGAUCCUCUCUCUCCCUCUCUCUCUCUGCCACUAUCCCACUCAUGCUCCCUCUCUCUGUCUUUCUAAAAAUAAGUAAACUUAGAAAAAAAAAAAAAGGAUGUGAAUCAAUGAAUUAGUGAUUUAGCCUGACUUCACUUUUUUUACAUGUUGACCCAGCAGAUUUUAGAAUCAGAAAGAACUAAGAAUCAAUACACAUUUUUAAGCUUUCAGUUUGUAAUUUUGUCCCCUUUUCUUCUGUGUCCAUAUUUCCCCUCUGUCCUGCCAGCAUUAAUACCUGAAGGAUCAAAGCUUCCAAAGAGAUGUGAUAGUUGUCUUAAGAUACUUGAGGGUUCUCAUGUAAGAAAAGACGUGGAUUUGCACUGUCAGGAAAGUAGAGCUGGAACAAGGGAGAGAAUAGACAGUCAGAAGACAUAAAGUCCCCAUCGCUGUAUGCAUCCGGACACAAGCCCUGUGAGCCAGGAGGGUAAUGAAGGAGGGAUUCAGGGAUCACACAGAGGUGGGUCAGAUUAAAAAACCUUUAAGAUUCUUUCAGACCCCGAGAGUCUGUGAUUCUCCUUGAGUGUUGGACAGGCCUCUCCUCAACCAAACAAAUACAAGGCUAAUGUAUUUCCUGCCUGAUGCAGGGGAGAGGCAACAGGUAGAAACUUCCAUCAGACUUGUCUAGAUUCUGUAAUUGCUUUCAUCGUGUACUCAUUUUGACUCUCGAAUACCUUGUCAAUAUGAAACCCAAAUGGAAGAGUACAGGAAAGAAGUAAUUCUUUUUCAGCCCAAGAUUUAUACACGUCUGUUCCUCUCCACUGAGCCAACUGUGUGAUAUGGCUAUCUAUCAAAAGCUGAAGGCACUUGUAGCUGCCGGGAGUUUCUCCUCCUGAAUAGCGUAUAAUGUCCAGGACAAGGCAACUGAGCCAGUCUUUCCGAGGCAUGUGUUCAGGUGUGGGUGUCACACUUUGUGAGGAACACACGCACAGGGCACCACACUCCGAGAAACGUGGUCACAGUGGUGGAGAAUGUGAAACCAUGUUCACCUCCGCCAGGCAGCUUUAUGGUGCAGGUAACAGAAUGCCCAACUCAGGUUGCCUCAACCACAAGGGGACUUCAUUGAAAUCCAUGGCCAAAAAGCCAAGUAUUCCUGGGUUUUUUGGUAGAACUGGAUUCAACAGGUCACUUUUGGCUCUGUUUCUGGUAGGCUUCUUCCUUCACAGACCAAGAAUGGCUUUGGGGGUUCCCGGGCCACCUGCUUCCCAGUUAGAAAGGAAUAACAAGCCUCUCUUCCCCACAGGCAGCAAGAGGCCAUAGGCUUCAGUUUGAUUGGAUCAGUUAACUUCCCCAAGCCCAGGGGACUUAGCUGUUGCGGACUAGUUUAAGCCUGAACCACAUGUCCUGCCCAUAAAGCUGGCGAUGAAGUAGGUGAGGAUGUGAAGUACAUGGGCUAUUUAAGGCUAGGGGAAUGUUAUCAGAGUGUCAUUACUAAUAGAAGGGGGAAGAACAGAGGGCAGUCAAUCACAGCAGAUGAUCUCAAGGAGAAAACAGGAUGCUCUCUCGGGAAAGAAAACUUCGUGAAGAAACAGCCAUCUUCAAAUAUGUGAGUUGCUGCCACUAAAUCACUACAGCUCCAGACCGUGGCUAUAUCUCCUAGGGAGACAUAUUUGAACUCGUAAUAAGAAAGAACUUUCUGACAGUUGAAGCCACCCAGGAUGGAAUCAUUGGAAUCCCAUUCCUGGAAGUCUUCUUCCAGAGUCAGAAGCGAGGAGUCAGACCAGGUGACCUCUAACAUCGUUCUGGAUUCUUUCGCUUGUGGAGGAUUGAAGUUAAUAGAGAUGCAAACUAAAUGAUAGCUCCAGAAAAACCCUUUGAGACAUUUUGACCCUUUAGAAAUCUUUUGUCACAGCACAUUUAUUUGACCAUAAACAAUGGAAUGGUCAAUAGGCCUUUCUCAAAAAGGCCACAUCCCCUCCCACUCCCUGCCCCCCACAUACAUAACUGAUACUCUAAACUAGAUUCUAGAAUAAGACCACCCUUUUGGGGGGAAGAAAGAGAAGUUUGGUACAGCCAGUGUAUUUUCUUUGAAAGGAAAAAUCUUCUCUGUGAGGAAAGUGCUCAGUGGACAUCUUGGCAAGGCUAAGGGAGAAGAUUCAUUUUAUAACUCACGUGUUUCAUUUUAAAAUGUGUUUGUGAGCCCCUGCUUUUCUUACAAAAUUCAGGCCUGAAUAUUAAAAUUUACAUGUGCCCAGAGGAUGAUUUACUAGGGUUCCUAUACCCCUAUGUGAAGUAGGACAUGAGCUAUGUCAGUUUUAAAUACACAAGGGAUAAAAGAGUGUAGACUGGCAGUCAGGUCCUUUCUUUCCUGCUCACUGACUGGCAGACCCAGCAAAUGAAUAAUGUUACACUCUACUUUGACGCUCCAGCUGCUGUGUUUUGUGUGAAAAUGCAUCGUCCUUGAUACUCGGGAAGCAGUGAGAGCCAAGUGAUCUAAUUUAUGGCCGUGAUGAUUUUCUGUCUGGUCCCAUCUGAGCUGAGCCCUCCUCUAGGCAUCUUACAGCCUUUCUGUCCCACCCAGCUAUUUGUGAAAUUCAGGGGUUUCUAGUCUGAGCUUUUCAAAACUGGUCCCUCCUAAAGGCAGCAGAGAGAAAGUGCCAGGGAGUGGAUUUUAGAAGCUGGGAAUCCUACUGACUUUCUGGUGUCCCACCAAGUAGCUCCUUGUUAAAUCAUCUGACAACUUAUUUUUGUUUUAAGUCAUUAAUUGUCGUUUAAAUAAGACCCAUGACUUAUUUUUUGUUUUUGUUUUGUUCUAUAUAAGAUACGCUAAUAGAUUUCCAGGCAUGAUAAGAACUUGAACAAGGACAGAGGCUGAUAAACAAGAGAGAUAUGGCACAAGUGAAUUAUACUUGUUAAUUUUGUAUUAUUAGUAAUAAUAUAUAUUACUCAUUUAUUUUGUCUCAUGCAUUCAUUCAAUAUCUAAAAAUAUCAGUUUGUCAGAAUUCUCAUUUAUGGUUCACUAGAGUACAUUUUAUUCUUCUUUUUUAAUACUUUUUAAAGUUUAUUUACUUAUUUUGAGAAAGAAUGAGAGAGACAACCAGAAGAGGAAGGGCAGAGAAAGAGAGAGGGUGGGACAGAGGAUCCAAGGCAGGCUCUGUGCUGACAACAGAGCGCCCCAUGUGGGGCUUGAACUCAUGAACCAGGAGAUCAUGACCUGAGCCAAAGUUGGAUGCUUAACCGACUGAGCCACCCAGAUGCCCCUGUUCUCUCUCUCUCUUUUUUUUUUCAAAAACAAAACAAAAAACAAAA